rnacentral:rRNA from 1 species
AUUGAACGCUGGCGGCAUGCCUUACACAUGCAAGUCGAACGGCAGCACGGGUGCUUGCACCUGGUGGCGAGUGGCGAACGGGUGAGUAAUACAUCGGAACAUGUCCUGUAGUGGGGGAUAGCCCGGCGAAAGCCGGAUUAAUACCGCAUACGAUCCACGGAUGAAAGCGGGGGACCUUCGGGCCUCGCGCUAUAGGGUUGGCCGAUGGCUGAUUAGCUAGUUGGUGGGGUAAAGGCCUACCAAGGCGACGAUCAGUAGCUGGUCUGAGAGGACGACCAGCCACACUGGGACUGAGACACGGCCCAGACUCCUACGGGAGGCAGCAGUGGGGAAUUUUGGACAAUGGGCGAAAGCCUGAUCCAGCAAUGCCGCGUGUGUGAAGAAGGCCUUCGGGUUGUAAAGCACUUUUGUCCGGAAAGAAAUCCUUGACUCUAAUACAGUCGGGGGAUGACGGUACCGGAAGAAUAAGCACCGGCUAGCUACGUG